ACCCACCCUAACAGACAGCACGUGUGGGCCCAAGGCCUGGCCAGAGUGACGCGAACUUGGUUUCCUCAGGAUGGACGACAGUGAGGCCUGCAGCAACCAGAGGGGCAGUGGAACGACAAAAACAUCCUCUGCUCCCCCUCACGUACCUGCCCCCCUCAGCCUUGUCCCUUUCCACGCUCCGAUGCUUGUUUUCAGGAAGACCAGGCUUCCUGCGUGAUGGAGCGGUGGAUGAGAGGAGGAAGAGGGGGAUGGGACAGAGAGGAAAAGACAGACACAGAGAGAGAUGGAUAGGGAUGAGGUGACGGUCCUGUGCACGUAGUGAUUUGGGGGAGUUUUUUGCGUUGGUUGCUUCCCUGACAGCUACAGGCAGCUGUGAGGGAGUCUGAGAAAAGGAAAGAUUACAGUACAAAUCUUCUGCGUAGAUGAAAAACUUGAAACAACUGAGAAGUCUUGUGUCAGGAAGGCAGGCAGGGAGUGGGCUAAUGUGUUACUGAACUUAAUGUGAGCAUUUUGUAAGCCUGUAUAGAAAUCAAGUUGGAACUUGGACCUGGAGUUUUGUUCUUUCACAUGUACAAACCUUCCUGUUCUUCUGUUUGUGUUGGGAAAUACUGAGCAAUGGGACAAUCAGCACAGAACACGGACACCAGCAGAGAGUUUAAAUACUUCAGGGAUGGGGCUACAGUGGUGAUUUCAUUCGAUGGUUUGAACUGGCUUUCUAAAAGGAGAUGCAGUGAGAAAGGAACCAAGAGAAGGGAUGAAGAGCUCCAGUCGUUGAUGACCUCAGGUCAGAUGAUCCGGGCUGCUGAGGAGCAGCCGAUCACAUGCUUCUGUAUCCUUGAACAAAGAGGAAGUACAGCCCCUCAGUUAUGGAGGAACAGUGACUGUAGAUCAAGCUUGGUAACAUGGCCGCCAUCCCUCUCUAUCUCCCUUCAACACUGUUGUCUUCCGAAGGAGCCCAGACAUCGUUCAAAGUUCACUCCUUUAGCUUCUUUUGUGUCAAACUUCCCGAAGGAGGCCCAGUGGAUGAGACUUAUUUUAAAUAUGCGGGACAUUUUCAGUUUUAUGAAAAAGGAUUUAAACAUUGUGACCCUGCAGGACACUCUUACAUUAGAUCAUAAUAGCUUUAUCAUUUUCUGUGACGAGGACAUACUGCUGCAACGCUUUGGUGACACUGAGGAUUGUAGGACGUCUAUAGGGGAUACUGGUUGGAGUAUCAGUGAAAACAACAUGUUAAGUGAUUUGAAAAUCUCCACAGCCCACUGGCCCCGCAGUCCCAGCACCGACAACUCAAAGGAGAUUCAACAUGAACCGGUCUGCAGAGACAGUUUUAACACAUGCAACUUUAAAAGUCUUCUGAAAUCCUGUCGAAUCUGCAGCGCUCCACAGGUUUUGUCUGGGAGGGACAGGAAUGUAAAAAAGAAAAAGAGCGUGUCCUUUGAUGAUGAUGUCACAGUCUACCUGUUUGAUCAGGAGAGUCCCACCGUGGAGCUGCACUCUGGGCCCUGCACAUCUCUGCCAAGCAGCUAUUCCUGCAACCUGCCAGAUGUCAUAUUAGAAGACAGUGGUUUGGAGUGGGAGGACGACUUCUCAGCCUUGGAGAAGAGCUGCCAUUUUCAGUGUGUCAGACACUCGAUAUCUCAGCAAUACACCCUUUCCUUGCCAGAGCAGAGCUGCACUGCUCUGCCCAGGCGUUUCUGUCUGUCCCAAACCUGCCUGUUCCUCACCCAUGUCACUGAGUCAGACCUUGAGCUGUGA
rnacentral:lncRNA from 15 species